rnacentral:rRNA from 1 species
GACAGAGGGGGCAAGCGUUGCUCGGAAUCACUGGGCGUAAAGGGCGCGUAGGUGGUUUGAUAAGGGUGUGGUGAAAGUCCGGGGCUCAACCCCGGAUCUGCCGUGCCGACUGUCAAACUCGAGGACUGUAGAGGCAGACGGAAUUCCGGGUGUAGCGGUGGAAUGCGUAGAUAUCGGGAGGAACACCAGUGGCGAAGGCGAUCAUCUGGGGUUGUUCUGACGCUGAGGAGCGAAAGCUAGGGGAGCAAACGGG